UACAUAGGGAGCAAGCGUUAUCCGGAAUGAUUGGGCGUAAAGCGUCUGUAGGUGGUUCAAAAAGUCUACUGUCAAAUACGUUGGCUCAACCAACGGCAGGCAUUAGAGUACUUUUGAACUAGAGUGUGGUAGAGGUAGAGGGAAUCCCUAGCGUAACAGUGAAAUGUGUAGAUUUUAGGGAGAACACCAGCGGCGAAGGCGCUCUACUGGGCCAUUACUGACACUGAGAGACGAAAGCUAAGGGAGCGAAAGGG
rnacentral:rRNA from 1 species